GGGCCCGCACAAGCGGUGGAGCAUGUGGUUUAAUUCGAUGCAACGCGAAGAACCUUACCAGGGUUUGACAUAGUACGAAGUUUUUUGAAAAAAAACCACCUUCGGGAACGUACAUACAGGUGGUGCAUGGCUGUCGUCAGCUCGUGCUGUGAGGUGUCAGGUUAAGUCCUAUAACGAGCGCAACCCCUAUCGUUAGUUGCCAGCGAGUAAUGUCGGGAACUCUAACGAAACUGCCAGUGCAAACUGUGAGGAAGGUGGGGAUGACGUCAAAUCAUCACGGCCCUUACGUCCUGGGCUACACACGUGCUACAAUGGCCGGUACAGAGAGCAGCCACUUCGCAAGAAGGAGCGAAUCUAUUAAAACCGGUCUCAGUUCGGAUCGGAGUCUGCAACUCGACUCCGUGAAGCUGGAAUC
rnacentral:rRNA from 1 species